AGGGUGGACGAGGAAGAGGUGAUCUCCCACAUCCUUGCUGGGCUCGACGAGGAAUUCGAUCCGGUGGUAUCAGCCAUGUGCUCCCGGGUCGAGCCCGUGAGGGUCCCAGAGCUGUACUCACAGCUCGUGAGCUUUGAGA
rfam:Hordeum vulgare subsp. vulgare, WGS project CAJW01000000 data, contig: morex_contig_1577055